rnacentral:lncRNA from 1 species
AGAGCUUUGGUUUCCCUCUAUUUAUUUCAGAAUUCCAAGAGUGGUAAAUAAGAAAGCAGGCAUGAAAGUUCUUUAAGAUUUGAAAGAUGCAAGCUCCAUGAAGAAUUUAUAUGGAAAAUGAAGGUAUUGGAAGGGGAGAUGACCUUUUUCCAGGAUGUUCAUAGGGGUUUUUCCAUGCCAAAUGUGUUCAUUGUGCUUCUGUU